UACGUAGGGUGCGAGCGUUGUCCGGAAUUAUUGGGCGUAAAGGGCUCGUAGGCGGUCUGUCACGUCGGGAGUGAAAACUCAGGGCUUAACCCUGAGCCUGCUUCCGAUACGGGCAGACUAGAGGUAUGCAGGGGAGAACGGAAUUCCUGGUGUAGCGGUGAAAUGCGCAGAUAUCAGGAGGAACACCAGUGGCGAAGGCGGCUUCCUGGACACCAACUGACGCUGAGACGCGAAAGCGUGGGGAGCAAACAGG
rnacentral:rRNA from 1 species